UAAAGCUUUGUGGUGUAUUACACGUUGGAUUGCAAAUCCAGAGACGGAGGUUGACACCUCCCGGGGCUU
rnacentral:tRNA from 1 species